UCCGAGUUGACCCCGGCAGUCUCCUAUGAGUCCCCACCAUCACGUGCUGGCAACAUAGAACGAGGGUUGCGCUCGUUGCGGGACUUAACCCAACAUCUCACGACACGAGCUGACGACAACCAUGCACCACCUGUCUCCAGGCGUUUCCGGUUCAUGUCAAGCCUUGGUAAGGUUCUUCGCGUUGCAUCGAAUUAAUCCGCAUGCUCCGCCGCUUGUGCGGGCCCCCGUCAAUUCCUUUGAGUUUUAGCCUUGCGGCCGUACUCCCCAGGCGGGGCACUUAAUGCGUUAGCUACGGCGCGGAAAACGUGGAAUGUCCCCCACACCUAGUGCCCAACGUUUACGGCAUGGACUAC
rnacentral:misc_RNA from 1 species